CGGGGUGUGGCUCAGUGGCAGAGCACUUACCUAGCAUGCAGGAGGCACUGGGUUCCAUCCUCAGCACCACAU
rnacentral:tRNA from 1 species